GUUUUAUAUUUAUCACUUAUUUACUGAGACCGAGGGAAACAGUGUGUUUUGUGGACCCGAGACCGUCGAUGUUUCCUGAGGCGAAGCCGAGGGAAACAUCGACGGUCGAGGGUCCACAAAACACACUGCUUUCCCGAGGUCUCAGUAAAUAAGUGUUUUAUUAUAUAUC